rnacentral:rRNA from 1 species
UUCCCCUUCGGGGGACAAAGUGACAGGUGGUGCAUGGUUGUCGUCAGCUCGUGUCGUGAGAUGUUGGGUUAAGUCCCGCAACGAGCGCAACCCUUAAGCUUAGUUGCCAUCAUUAAGUUGGGCACUCUAAGUUGACUGCCGGUGACAAACCGGAGGAAGGUGGGGAUGACGUCAAAUCAUCAUGCCCCUUAUGAUUUGGGCUACACACGUGCUACAAUGGACAAUACAAAGGGCAGCGAAACCGUGAGGUCAAGCAAAUCCCAUAAAUUUGUUCUCAGUUCGGAUUGUAGUCUGCAACUCGACUACAUGAAGCUGGAAUCGCUAGUAAUCGUAGAUCAGCAUGCUACGGUGAAUACGUUCCCGGGUCUUGUACACACCGCCCGUCACACCACGAGAGUUUGUAACACCCGAAGCCGGUGGAGUAACCUUUUAGGAGCUAGCCGUCGAAGGUGGGACAAAUGAUUGGGGUGAAGUCGUAACAAGGUAGCCGUAUCGGAAGGUGCGGCUGGAUCACCUCCUUU